GAUGAACGCUAGCUACAGGCUUAACACAUGCAAGUCGAGGGGAAACGACAUCGAAAGCUUGCUUUUGAUGGGCGUCGACCGGCGCACGGGUGAGUAACGCGUAUCCAACCUGCCCAUCACUUGGGAAUAACCUUGCGAAAGUAAGACUAAUACCCAAUGAUAUCCCACGAAGGCAUCGGAAUGGGAUUAAAGAUUUAUCGGUGAUGGAUGGGGAUGCGUCUGAUUAGCUUGUUGGCGGGGUAACGGCCCACCAAGGCAACGAUCAGUAGGGGUUCUGAGAGGAAGGUCCCCCACAUUGGAACUGAGACACGGUCCAAACUCCUACGGGAGGCAGCAGUGAUGAAUAUUGGUCAAUGGGCGAGAGCCUGAACCAGCCAAGUAGCGUGCAGGAAGACGGCCCUAUGGGUUGUAAACUGCUUUUAUAAGGGAAUAAAGUGGGUCACGUGUGACUUUUUGCAUGUACCUUAUGAAUAAGGACCGGCUAAUUCCGUG
rnacentral:rRNA from 1 species